GUGUCAGCAGCCGCGGUAAUACGAAGGUGGCAAGCGUUGUUCGGAAUUACUGGGCGUAAAGCGCGUGUAGGCGGCUCUUCAAGUCAGGCGUGAAAGCCCUGAGCUCAACUCAGGAACUGCGUUUGAUACUGUCGAGCUAGAGUGUGGAAGGGGCAAUCGGAAUUCCGUGUGUAGCGGUGAAAUGCGUAGAUAUACGGAGGAACACCAGAGGCGAAGGCGGAUUGCUGGGCCAACACUGACGCUGAGACGCGAAAGCCAGGGUAGCAAACGGGAUUAGAUACCCCCGUAGUCC
rnacentral:rRNA from 1 species